CUUGCACCCUCGGCCGCCAUGCAGUUUAUGUUGCUUUUUAGUCAUCAAGGAAAGCUUCAACUGCAGAAAUGGUAUGUCCCACUUUCAGACAAGGAGAAGGAAAAGAUCACAAGAGAACUUGUUGAAACCAUUUUAGUACGGAAACCUAAAAUGUGCAGCUUCCUUGAGUGGCCAGAUUUAAAGAUUGUUUACAAAAGAUAUGCUAGUCUGUAUUUCUGCUGUGCUAUUGAAGAUCAGGACAAUGAGCCAAUUGCCCUGGAAAUAAUUCAUUGUUAUGUGAGAUUACUUGACAAGUAUUUUGGCAGUGUGUGUGAACUUGAUAUCAUCUUUAAUUUUGAGGAGGCAUAUUUUAUUUUGGAUGAGUUACUUUUGGGCAGGGAAGUUCAGGAAACAUCCAAGAAAAUUUUUCUUAAAACAAUUGAGCAGGCUGAUCUACUGCAGGAGGAAGCUGAAACCCCAUGUAGUGCUCUUGAAGAAAUUGGACUGACAUAA